CCCUACGGGGUGCUGUUCACUCGGGCGGCCACGAGCGCUGCUACGAGAUGCUGGGAGUUCCUCUCCGUAGGAGCCGCCCAACUGACUACGGCACUAUCGCAGAAGUACCCCACUGUUCCUCAGCGUUACACAGUCAUAUCGGGUUUUACCGAUGGCAUAUACGCUCUGGGUCUUCAUAAGGUUGAGUUGAGCAGACUUGAGGUAUUCGGCAACACCGCCUAUGGCAUUAACUCAUACUACGACAACAUCGGAACAGGGAUGGGUGUGAUCAGGAAUUGCCUGAUUCGUGACAAUGGCACCGCCGGUAUUCGCCUUAUGGAUAGUCCAACGCUAGUAGAGAACUGCACAUGUGUGGGUAAUCCGAUCGGGCUGUACAGCGGAAUGGGCGGGAGGGC
rnacentral:rRNA from 1 species